rnacentral:rRNA from 1 species
UAGAGCACUGUUUCGGCUAGGGGGCCAUCCCGGCUUACCAACCCGAUGCAAACUGCGAAUACCGGAGAAUGUUAUCACGGGAGACACACGGCGGGUGCUAACGUCCGUCGUGAAGAGGGAAACAACCCAGACCGCCAGCUAAGGUCCCAAAGUCAUGGUUAAGUGGGAAACGAUGUGGGAAGGCCCAGACAGCCAGGAUGUUGGCUUAGAAGCAGCCAUCAUUUAAAGAAAGCGUAAUAGCUCACUGGUCGAGUCGGCCUGCGCGGAAGAUGUAACGGGGCUAAACCAUGCACCGAAGCUGCGGCAGCGACACUCAGGUGUUGUUGGGUAGGGGAGCGUUCUGUAAGCCUGUGAAGGUGUGUCGUGAGGCAUGCUGGAGGUAUCAGAAGUGCGAAUGCUGACAUAAGUAACGAUAAAGCGGGUGAAAAGCCCGCUCGCCGGAAGACCAAGGGUUCCUGUCCAACGUUAAUCGGGGCAGGGUGAGUCGACCCCUAAGGCGAGGCCGAAAGGCGUAGUCGAUGGGAAACGGGUUAAUAUUCCCGUACUUGGUGUUACUGCGAAGGGGGGACGGAGAAGGCUAUGUUGGCCGGGCGACGGUU